AGGGCGGGACACGUGAUAUCCUGUCUGAAUAUGGGGGGACCAUCCUCCAAGGCUAAAUACUACUGACUGACCGAUAGUGAACCAGUACCGUGAGGGAAAGGCGAAAAGAACCCCUGUGAGGGGAGUGAAAUAGAACCUGAAACCGUGUACGUACAAGCAGUAGGAGCAGGCUUGUCCUGUGACUGCGUACCUUUUGUAUAAUGGGUCAGCGACUUAUAUUCAGUGGCAAGGUUAACCAUCUAGGGGAGCCGUAGGGAAACCGAGUCUUAACUGGGCGUUCAGUCUCUGGAUAUAGACCCGAAACCAGGUGAUCUAGCCAUGGGCAGGUUGAAGGUUGAGUAACAUCAACUGGAGGACCGAACCGACUAAUGUUGAAAAAUUAGCGGAUGACUUGUGGCUAGGGGUGAAAGGCCAAUCAAACCUGGAGAUAGCUGGUUCUCCCCGAAAGCUAUUUAGGUAGCGCCUCGGACGAAUACUACUGGGGGUAGAGCACUGUUAAGGCUAGGGGGUCAUCCCGACUUACCAACCCUUUGCAAACUCCGAAUACCAGUAAGUACUAUCCGGGAGACACACGGCGGGUGCUAACGUCCGUCGUGGAGAGGGAAACAACCCAGACCGCCAGCUAAGGUCCCAAAUUACUACUAAGUGGGAAACGAUGUGGGAAGGCUCAGACAGCCAGGAUGUUGGCUUAGAAGCAGCCAUCAUUUAAAGAAAGCGUAAUAGCUCACUGGUCGAGUCGGCCUGCGCGGAAGAUGUAACGGGGCUAAGUAGUAAACCGAAGCUGCGGCAAUAUACUUUUGUAUAUUGGGUAGGGGAGCGUUCUGUAAGCGGUUGAAGGUGUGUGGUAACGCAUGCUGGACGUAUCAGAAGUGCGAAUGCUGACAUGAGUAACGAUAAAGGGGGUGAAAAACCUCCUCGCCGGAAGACCAAGGGUUCCUGUCCAACGUUAAUCGGGGCAGGGUAAGUCGACCCCUAAGGCGAGGCCGAAAGGCGUAGUCGAUGGGAAACGGGUUAAUAUUCCCGUACUUCUUACAAUUGCGAUGGGGGGACGGAGAAGGCUAGGUGGGCCUGGCGACGGUUGUCCAGGUUCAAGUGCGUAGGCUGAGAGAUUAGGUAAAUCCGGUUUCUCUUAAGGCUGAGACACGACGUCGAGCACCUACGGGUGUGAAGUCAUUGAUGCCAUGCUUCCAGGAAAAGCCUCUAAGCUUCAGAUUGUAAGGAAUCGUACCCCAAACCGACACAGGUGGUCGGGUAGAGAAUACCAAGGCGCUUGAGAGAACUCGGGUGAAGGAACUAGGCAAAAUGGUACCGUAA
rnacentral:rRNA from 1 species